rnacentral:rRNA from 1 species
UACGUAGGGGCGAGCGUUGUCCGGAAUGAUUGGGCGUAAAGGGCGCGUAGGCGGCUUUGCAAGUCAGUAGUGGAAGUCCAUUUUUCAAGGAUGGAAGUGCUACAGAAACUGCGGAGCUUGAGUGCAGGAGAGGUUAUCGGAAUUCCCGGUGUAGCGGUGAAAUGCGUAGAGAUCGGGAGGAACACCAGUGGCGAAGGCGGGUAACUGGACUGCAACUGACGCUGAGGCGCGAAAGUGUGGGGAGCGAACGGGAUUAGAUACCCCUGUAGU